CAGGCAGCCAGGGGGACCAGGGCGAGGCUUGGCCAUUGCACAUCGGCUGAGCAGACCCGGGCGAUACCCCCGAAGGAGGGUAACUCGGUCGGACAAUUCCAGGAAGUGGGGACGGCGGUCGCGCUAUCCCCGU
rnacentral:snRNA from 10 species